GGAUCCGUAGCUCAGCCUGGAUAGAGCAUCUGCCUUCUAAGCAGAGGGUCGCGAGUUCGAAUCUCGCCGGGUCCG
rnacentral:tRNA from 1 species